UUUCGGGGGAGGUGUCGAUCUAAGUCCGUUGGAACACGGCGUCAUAGAGGGUGAGAAUCCCGUAUGUGAUCGACGAUCAACCCCAUGUGAAACCCCUUCGACGAGUCGAGUUGUUUGGGAAUGCAGCUCCAAAUGGGUGGUAAAUUUCAUCUAAAGCUAAAUACCGGCUGGAGACCGAUAGCGCACAAGUAGAGUGAUCGAAAGAUGAAAAGCACUUUGGAAAGAGAGUCAAAAAGUACGUGAAAUUGUUGAAAGGGAAGCGCUUGCAACCAGACCUGUCCGUCGGUGAUCAGCCGCCGUUCUCGGUGGUGCACUCGCCGGCGAUCAGGCCAGCAUCGGUUCGGGCGGUCGGAUAAAGGCCUUGGGAACGUAGCUUCCUUCGGGAAGUCUUACAGCCCUCGGUGCAAUGCGGCCAGCCCGGACCGAGGACCGCGCUUCGGCUAGGAUGCUGGCGUAAUGGUUGUAAGCGACCCGUCUUGAAACACGGACCAAGGAGUCUAACAUCUAUGCAAGUGUUCGGGCGUCAACCCCAUACGCGCAAUGAAAGUGAACGGAGGUGAGAACCCGUCGGGGCGCAUCAUCGACCGAUCCAGAUGUCUUCGGAUGGAUUUGAGUAUGAGCAUAGCUGUUGGGACCCGAAAGAUGGUGAACUAUGCCUGGAUAGGGUGAAGCCAGAGGAAACUCUGGUGGAGGCUCGCAGCGGU
rnacentral:rRNA from 1 species